CUCUGGUUCGUGGCCAACAGACCCAGGCUUUGAAAAUUAAAGAAACUGACUCACUUCAAGCUACAUGGAACUACAACUACACCUGCUCCUAAUUUCCAUCAUCCAUUUGAAGACAUGAUUACUCCCUUCAAUCAUCCCUCGACAUGUGCAAUAUUCAAUAGAUGGGUGUACGGACAAUAAGAAGCAAAACAAACUUGCUUUUAUGUUGAUCUGAUCGAUCAAAGUUAAUCAGUGUUUUAUUGAUUUAUCCUUAUUUAGGCACUUUUAAUUUGGACUCAAAUUACUGUACUGGAAGUGGCAUUUUCUUUCAUUUCUGGCAUGCGGUUAAGGGAAAAACUGAUUACCUGAUGAAUAAUCGAUUGCAGCCUCUGCAGUAGUUGCCACUUUUAAUCAAGCUGAUGCCGGUUAUCUCUAGUUCUUGCCUUGAAUUCCUCGCUGUCUUUAAAUCUUGGCCUGACUCACCCUAAAUCGAGCCCCGUCUCUGAAUUCCAGUAAUUUGAACUCAACUGAAGCAUAAACUGGGCAGGAGACUCUCUUUUUUUGAAAAGAAGCCUGAAACCCAACUCAAGAAA